rnacentral:rRNA from 1 species
CAAGGUAUUGUAAUAAGGCUUUAAUUGAGUGCUAAAAGAAUGGAUUGUCAAAAAAAUUCUUUCUUAAAAUUAAAAAUUGAAAUUAUUUUUAUUUGUGAAGAAACAAUAAUAUCAAUUAAGGACAAGAAGACCCUACGAAUUUUAAUAAAUUUUAAUUUAUAAGAUUAUAAAUUAAAAUUUAUUUAAUUGGGGCGAUUUAAAAAUAUUUAAAACUUUUUUUUAAAAAUAUGAACCAUUAUUAAUGAUAUCAUGAAAAAAAUACUCUAGGGAUAACAGCGUAAUAAUUUUAGAUAGAUCUUAUAGAAAAAAUAGUUUGCGACCUCGAUGUUGGAUUAGGAUUCUUAUUUAAUGAAGAAGUUAAAAGAAGAAGUUUGUUCAACUUUUGAAAUCCUACUUGAUCUGAG